AGUUGGCCUUUGUUCUUUAUUUGUUCUAAUGACACAUUCAUCUAAGGUGCUUUAAUUCUUACUCAUUUCUGUUAUGAGCUGACAUUGUGUGAACCUGACAUUUUUUCCCUCUCAUAACAGGAAAAUGUCUGAGCUGUGACUAACCUUGCUGUGACAUAUAAAAGCCUACUUCAUGAUUCUAGCACCUGGUAGUGAGGCAACAAUGAAUGUGUGACAUUCUGAGAAGAUUCUGAGGAGCCCAGAGGCCUGUGGGUGGUUGUGAAACGCCAGUAGAGACACUGUGAUGACGCACAUAAGCUUAACGCAUGAGGAAACCCCACUCACAGACAAACUGCUUUAUGUGUGCUGCAGCCUGGGGACUAAAGCCUUGGACUGGACCCCUCUAACAUUGCAGAAGAUAUGCUUAAUAAACAUCCAUCUAGACUGAAGGUCAACCACACCUAUCUCUGACUCAAUCUUGGCUAAAACAGGAAGGUGAUCAUGAAUUUGCUGUUUCUGCUAGACUGGUAGACAUUAUUCAAGAUUCUUCUGUGAUCAUUUUAGAUCAAAGUUUAAAACAUAUUUGAUCUUUGGCAAAUUGUUAAAUCCAUUAUAUAAGUAUAUGUAUAUAUUUGUGUAUAUGUAUGAUGUAUUUUUCCAAAUAUUAUUGUCUAUUGCAGUCAAGUAUUUUUCACUGGUGAAAAACAAUUUUUCACUAUACCACUUUGUGCAGCACUUACUUAUGAAAAUACACCAGCAGCUACAUCGUGACCGUUAUGUUUAUGAGCACUGACAUCCUGUAUCGAAACCACCAAAAAAGCAAAACAGGCUUUGAGUAAAGACAUUUGUUGUUGUGGUUCACUUUACAAAAAAUAUUGACAUUCAUACAUACCUAACAGGGUGGGACUGAGACCACAAGCAGAUCUAAACAAUGUCUGGCUCAAUUGUGUGCGUCAGAAAGCUAUGGAGAUGUGAUGUUCAAUUCAAUUCAAUUGAAGUUUUUGUA